rnacentral:rRNA from 1 species
UACGUAGGGUGCAAGCGUUAAUCGGAAUUACUGGGCGUAAAGCGUGCGCAGGCGGUGAUGUAAGACAGUUGUGAAAUCCCCGGGCUCAACCUGGGAACUGCAUCUGUGACUGCAUCGCUGGAGUGCGGCAGAGGGGGAUGGAAUUCCGCGUGUAGCAGUGAAAUGCGUAGAUAUGCGGAGGAACACCGAUGGCGAAGGCAAUCCCCUGGGCCUGCACUGACGCUCAUGCACGAAAGCGUGGGGAG